CAGCCGCCACGGUAACACGUAGGGUGCGAGCGUUAAUCGGAAUUACUGGGCGUAAAGCGUGCGCAGGCGGUUGUGUAAGACAGGUGUGAAAUCCCCGGGCUCAACCUGGGAACUGCGCUUGUGACUGCACAGCUAGAGUAUGGCAGAGGGGGGUGGAAUUCCACGUGUAGCAGUGAAAUGCGUAGAGACGUGGAGGAACACCGAUGGCGAAGGCAGCCCCCUGGGCCAAUACUGACGCUCAUGCACGAAAGCGUGGGGAGCAAACAGGAUUAGAUACCCCGUAGUCCCUGUCUCUUAUACA
rnacentral:rRNA from 1 species